rnacentral:rRNA from 1 species
AUUGAACGCUGGCGGCAGGCCUAACACAUGCAAGUAGAGCGGAGCGGCGGACGGGUGAGUAAUGCCUAGGUAUCUGCCUGGUCGUGGGGGAUAACGUCCGGAAACGGGAGCUAAUACCGCAUCCUAUCAGAUGAGCCUAGGUCGGAUUGGCUAGUUGGUGGGGUAAAGGCCUACAAAGGCGACGAUCCGUAACUGGUCUGAGAGGAUGAUCAGUCACACUGGAACGGAGACACGGUCCAGACUCCUACGGGAGGCAGCAGUGGGGAAUAUUGGACAAUGGGCGAAAGCCUGAUGCAGCCAUGCCGCGGGUGUGAAGAAGGUCUUCGGAUUGUAAAGUACUUUAAGUUGGGAGGCGUUACCAACAGAAUAAGCACCGGCUAACUUCGUGCCAGCAGCCGCGGUAAUUC